rnacentral:misc_RNA from 1 species
AAAGAUAGAGAGUAAUUCAUUAAUAUAAAAAGGCUUCAAUGCUUGUUACAUAUAAGCACAAUAAAUAAAGGUUUACAAGCAAUGGGCCCUAUCUACACACCACUUGAUCCACAAGAAUUAAACCCAUACAUUCAUGCAGAUCCCUAAACCCGAAAGCAACACAACUCUUAGAAACUCAUAGUGCAAUCGCAACAGAGCAGAAAUAAUCCAUCGACAACAUGAUUAGAUGGUGGCCAAAGUUGAAAAAGAAACGGUAGAAACACACAAGGAGAGGCUUUCAUCAGAACAAAAAGAAACCUAGUGAGGUGUAUCAAACACUCUUCCCCACAACAAAUCUCAACUCAAACUUAGUUAGAGCCUAAGAUCAGUGGUUCAAACGGGAUAUGCAGAGCACCGAUCAGAAGAACAUAGCAAUCAAUGGGUGUUAGAUAGAGCUCCUUUUGGCUCUCUCAAUCUCCUAUAGCCAGUUGAGAGACUGGAUGCUCACAAAUUAGAUGUGGCAUCGUUAUAUCUCUAUGAGGUACCUAACCACACAAAACCCAAAGAUUAGAUGUAAGCAUAGAUAAAUAACCACAAUAAACAAAGCUCCAUCCCUUGCUGAAGGUUUAAGAUAAAGGGAGAAGCACAUGCAGGUCCUUGGCACUCCUUCUCUUUUUAAGAACAGCCUACAACCAAACGAACACCCAAAGAAAAUAUUUACACCCUGUCCAAAGGUGGGGAAGGAGAUACCCACUCUCCUAGCCAGAGGAAGGAAGGCCAGCCCCUGCCCAAGAGGGGCAGAGGUGCCCACUUAAAUGGCAGAAGAAGAAGACUUAGGCUUUUGAAUAAACAAAAAACUUUGGAGAGAAAAGUUCUCCCUCUAAACUUAGAGAGAGAGAAAAU